CUACGGGCGGCAGCAGUGGGGAAUAUUGCACAAUGGGCGCAAGCCUGAUGCAGCAACGCCGCGUGAACGAAGAAGGUUUUCGGAUCGUAAAGUUCUUUUCUUAGGGAAGAAACCAUGACGGUACCUAAGGAAUAAGCACCGGCUAACUACGUGCCAGCAGCCGCGGUAAUACGUAGGGUGCAAGCGUUAUCCGGAAUCACUGGGCGUAAAGGGUGCGUAGGCGGUCUGACAAGUCAGGAGUGAAAGGCAGUGGCUCAACCAUUGUAAGCUUUUGAAACUGUCGGACUUGAAUGCAGGAGGGGCAAGUGGAAUUCCUAGUGUAGCGGUGAAAUGCGUAGAUAUUAGGAGGAACACCAGUGGCGAAGGCGACUUGCUGGACUGUAAUUGACGCUGAGGCACGAAAGCGUGGGGAGCAAACAGGAUUAGAUACCCGGGUAGUC
rnacentral:rRNA from 1 species